UUGAUCAACAAGAGCCCCAAGUAUGGAGUGGUAGACGUCAAGAGACGUGGGGACCGGAUUAUCCUAGUCAAGCUGGUAGUUGAGGACUUGGUUCUCAAUGUUAUCAGCGCGUAUGCCCUGCAAGUAGGCCACAAUGAGAACACCAAGAGGGAGUUCUGGGAAGGCCUGGAAGACAUGGUUAGGAGUGUACCGAUUGGUGAGAAGCUCUUCAUAGGAGGAGACCUCAAUGGCCACGUGGGUACAUCUAACACAGGUUUUGAAGGGGCGCAUGGGGCUUUGGCUAUGGCAUCAGGAAUCAAGAAGGAGAAGAUGUCUUAA
rnacentral:rRNA from 1 species